rnacentral:rRNA from 1 species
CAAUAGCGUAUAUUAAAGUUGUUGCAGUUAAAAAGCUCGUAGUUGGAUUUCUGAGGGGAGCGACCGGUCGGCGCCCUAGUGGCGUGUGCACUGUUUGUCGGCUUCUUUCAUCCUGGUCGAAAAGUUCUCUGCGCUUCAUUGCGUGGGGUCCGGAUCGGCCACAUUUACUGUGAAAAAUUAGAGUGUUUAAAGCAGGCGAUCGCUGUGAAUACAUUAGCAUGGAAUAAUAAGAUAGGACUUUGGUACUAUUUUGUUGGUUUGCGUUACGAAGUAAUGAUUAAUAGGGACAGUUGGGGGUAUUCGUAUUUCAUUGUCAGAGGUGAAAUUCUUGGAUUUCUGAAAGACGAACUACUGCGAAAGCAUUUACCAAGGAUGUUUUCAUUAAUCAAGAACGAAAGUUAGGGGAUCGAAGAUGAUCAGAUACCAU